UUUUUUUCCUCCAAGCUCUAUUUUAAGCUGCACUUUUCUGCUUUUCUUUACAGGAUAAUAGAAGACACUGAUGAGUCAGAUUCAUCAUCUACUCUGAAACAGAGCCGGAAAAAGAAACGAAAGAAAAACAAAAGCAGAGACAGCUCACAAAGUCCCUCACCUUCUCCUCGGAGAGAGAAGAAAAAGAACAAGAAGAGGAAAAAGAAAAAGGAAGCAUCAGUACAAAGUGACCAAGCAAGUUCAUCUGAGGAUGAGCAGGUAUCGAAGCGAAAAAGGAAAGGCAGUGAUAGCGACGCUCCUCCUCCCACAAAGAGCCGUAAGCAACGCAGUGCAUCGUCCAGUUCGGCACACAGCAGGUCACCAGCCCCGUUAAGGGAAAGGCAGCAGAAUGCGGCUGUAUCCAGGACAGAGGAGAGGAGGAGGGGCAGGUCUCCUGACCGAAAGGCCCAUGGCCGUCAGGAAAGCCCAGAAAGGUUGGAGAUAAGAGAGGUAGGAAAAGAGCAAAGCGAUAUCAGAAGCAAUGCUUAAAUGCUAAUAUGUUAUCAAAGGGACAUUUG
ensembl:lncRNA